UUAAACCAGGGGUUAGAUACCCUGUUAUACCAGGAUUGAAAUAAUAAUAAUCUUGAGUAGUAGUUAUAAAUUAGUUUGAAAUUCAAAGAGUUUGGCGGUAUUUUAGUCUAGUUAGAGGAACCUGUUUUAUAAACGAUACUCCGCGUAAUAUCUUUCUUGCUUUAGUUUGAGCUAGUAUACCAUCAUUGUUAGGUAAUUUUAUUUAUUAAAGAAAUUAUUGCAAUUAAUUUAUUUUUAAAUAUAUUAGAUCACGGUGCUGCUUAUGAGCAAGUAAAAAAUGGGUUACAAUGGGAUUUACUUAUUACGGAUAUGUCAAAUGAAACUUUGCAUUGAAGGUGGAUUUAAUAGUAACAUUGGUUUAAUAUGUAUUUGUGAGAUUAGCUCUAAAAUAUGUACAUAUCGACCGUCRCAA
rnacentral:rRNA from 1 species